UGGGGAUCGAACCGGGUACUUGCAUCCUUCUCUGAAUGCAAGCUCGCUGCUCUAACCACUAGGCCAACACUCCCCGCCAACGACAUCAUCAUAACGGAUGAUGUCAUGAUUUUGUCUUGGAUGAACCCGGACACAGCACGCACACACAGAGCUGGUUUUAAGAGAGUUUAUUGCAAGUAGUGGAUGAGGAUGACAUGAAGAACCAGAGUAACCAGGUGGAGAUGAACGAUGCAGGAGCUGACUGGCAGGAGCAGAGCGGAGAGACUGACCAUGAGACGGGGAAGCUGCGCUGCUACAGAACCGGGAGUAAAUCCAGAGUCCAUUAAGACGGGAACAGAGGUACAGAGUCCAGCAGCGCAGCAAACGGAAACAGGACAAACGGGAACCAAGACAGGAGGACAGGAGCAGACAGGCAUGAUGUUGGAUAGACUGACGUUUACGAGCCGGCGACCAGGAACAAACUGAGAUUAAAUUUGAAGACUGCUCCCCAGUAGAGAUCGGUAGAGAAGUUGGGUGUUCCUGUGCAUUACUUUAUCAGACUGCACACUACUCUGCUCAGAAUUUGGCUGCUGUGCCACCAGUACUAAGCUGUACUGAAACCGAACAGAGUUGGCACAAACCAAGGACCAUGGGUGUUAGACCAGGCCGCGUGCGUGACAUGGUUUUUAUAUGUGCAAUACCAAAACAGCAGCGCACAGUUGGAAAAGUGUGUAAGG